rnacentral:rRNA from 1 species
UACGUAGGGCGCAAGCGUUGUCCGGAAUUAUUGGGCGUAAAGAGCUCGUAGGUGGCCUGUCGCGUCGGCUGUGAAAACCCGGGGCUCAACCCCGGGCCUGCAGUCGAUACGGGCAGGCUAGAGUUCGGCAGGGGAGACUGGAAUUCCUGGUGUAGCGGUGAAAUGCGCAGAUAUCGGGAGGAACACCGGUGGCGAAGGCGGUUCUCUGGGCCUGUACUGACGCUGAGGAGCGAAAGCGUGGGGGAGCGAACAGG